CACGUAGUUAGCCGGGGCUUCCUCCUUGGGUACCGUCAGUUCUUCUUCCCCAAGGACAGAAGUUUACGACCCGAAGGCCUUCUUCCUUCACGCGGCGUCGCUGCAUCAGGCUUUCGCCCAUUGUGCAAUAUUCCCCACUGCUGCCUCCCGUAGGAGUUUGGACCGUGUCUCAGUUCCAAUGUGGCCGUUCACCCUCUCAGGUCGGCUACUGAUCGUCGCCUUGGUAAGCCGUUACCUUACCAACUAGCUAAUCAGACGCAGGCCCAUCCUUUGCCGAUAAAUCUUUGACCAUCUGCUCAUGUAACCAAAUGGUGUUAUCUAGGUUUUAAUCAUUCGUUCCAAUGGCUAUCCCUGUGCAAAGGGCAGGUUGCCUGCGCGUUACUCACCCGUCCGCCGCUUCCACUCGACUCCUUCAACCGAGUAUCUGUCAUCAGCUUCUCGCUCGACUUGCAUGUGUAGGCACGCCGCCAGCGUUCA
rnacentral:rRNA from 1 species